rnacentral:tRNA from 1 species
GGUGGAGUCGCAUAGUCCGGCCUAGUGCGCGGCACUCGAAAUGCCGUAGGGGGGCAACCCCCUCGUGGGUUCGAAUCCCACCUCCACCA